CCCGGCUGUUAGUGCUGUGUGAGUGCGUGUGUGCUCCUGAGCUCGCUCGGCACACAUUCUAUAAAAAAAAUAAAAAUACCAAAAAAAAUUCAAAACAUAAAAAAACAAAAAAUCUUUUUAUUUUUCUUUCUUCCUCUUCUUUUUGUAACACCGGUGAAGCUGGAGUACCGUUAGACAUUCGAGGACCGGACGGUAACGUAUAAGACGGGGCUGCCUAACAAACCGAACGGCAUUUUUUUCGACGUGUUAGAAACGUUAAUUUUUUUUUUAUCAUUGUGUGUCACGUUUGAAUGACAGUUUUAACCCCAUUAGAAGACGACAUUGUGUCAUUUUAACAUAUUUAUCUUUUACAUUUUACCCAAACCCCCUUUCAACUGACAAGCCAACGGUUGUUAACGUUCACCAUCAGCAUUCUGCCCCGAACUGACGUGACGCCACCGACCGUUAGAGAACUAAGCAUUCGUGCAGACGCCGAAAAAACUUUUUUUUGUUAAGAUCAGUCCGCGUCCUAGUUCUUCACCAGCCUCAGCGGCCAACGACAAUGAAUCCCAGUGCUCCCAGUUACCCCAUGGCUUCCCUUUACGUCGGGGAUCUGCAUCAAGAUGUGACCGAGGCCAUGCUGUACGAGAAAUUCAGCCCAGCCGGAGCUAUCCUCUCGAUCCGGGUCUGCAGGGACAUGAUCACCCGGCGUUCCCUUGGAUACGCCUAUGUCAACUUCCAACAGCCGGCGGACGCCGAGCGUGCACUGGACACCAUGAACUUUGAUGUGAUCAAGGGGCGGCCUGUGCGCAUCAUGUGGUCGCAGCGUGAUCCAUCACUGAGAAAGAGCGGUGUUGGAAACAUCUUCAUUAAGAAUCUUGACAAGUCCAUCGACAACAAGGCUCUAUACGACACCUUCUCUGCGUUCGGCAACAUCCUCUCGUGCAAGGUGGUUUGUGACGAGAAUGGCUCUAAAGGCUACGGCUUUGUGCAUUUUGAGACUCAGGAAGCAGCCGAACGAGCUAUUGAGAAAAUGAAUGGCAUGCUGCUCAAUGACCGAAAAGUAUUCGUGGGUCGCUUCAAAUCUCGCAAAGAGCGCGAGGCUGAGCUGGGUGCCCGAGCCAAAGAAUUCACAAAUGUCUAUGUCAAAAAUUUCGGUGAAGACAUGGAUGAUGAGAAGCUGAGGGAAGUCUUCAGUAAAUUCGGAAACGCAAUGAGUAUCCGCGUCAUGACCGAUGACAAUGGAAAGUCUCGAGGCUUCGGGUUUGUCAGCUUUGAUAGGCACGAGGACGCCCAGAAGGCAGUGGAUGAGCUGAACGGGAAGGAGUUUAACGGCAAGCUCAUCUAUGUCGGCCGUGCCCAGAAGAAGGUGGAGCGACAGACGGAGCUCAAGCGCAAAUUUGAGCAAAUGAAACAAGACCGCAUGACUCGCUACCAGGGUGUCAACUUGUACGUGAAAAACCUUGAUGAUGGGAUUGACGAUGAACGUCUGCGAAAAGAGUUCACACCAUUCGGCACCAUAACCAGUGCCAAGGUCAUGAUGGAGGGGGGGCGCAGCAAAGGUUUCGGUUUUGUCUGCUUCUCGUCCCCAGAGGAGGCCACAAAAGCUGUGACGGAGAUGAAUGGACGCAUCGUAGCAACCAAGCCAUUGUAUGUGGCCCUGGCCCAGCGGAAAGAGGAGCGUCAAGCCCACCUGACCAACCAGUACAUGCAGCGCAUGGCCAGUGUGCGUGCAGUGCCAAACCCGGUCAUCAAUCCCUACCAACCGGCCCCGCCCUCUGGCUACUUCAUGGCAGCCAUACCUCAGGCCCAGAACCGUGCCGCUUACUACCAAGCUGCUGGGCAGAUGGCCCAGCUCCGCCCGAGCCCACGCUGGGCUACCCAAGGUGUCAGGCCACAACACUUCCAGAACAUGCAAGGUGCUAUGCGUCCCUCAGCACCACGUCCUCAGUCCUUCGGUGCCAUGCGGCCGGCCUCCCAGGUGCCCCGCAUGAUGUCCACCCAGCGUGUCGCAUCUCAGACAAUGGGCCCCCGACCAGUCAGCGCAGCUGCUGCAGCAGGCGCUCCUCUGCGUGGAGUCCCUCAGUACAAAUAUGCCGCAGGAGUCCGUAAUCCCCAGCAGCACAUACCUGCUCAGCCACAAGUCCCCAUGCAGCAGCCUGCUGUCCAUGUUCAGGGACAGGAGCCUCUGACAGCCUCCAUGCUGGCCGCUGCUCCACCACAGGAACAGAAGCAGAUGCUGGGUGAGCGUCUUUUCCCACUAAUCCAGAACAUGCACCCAAGCCUGGCAGGGAAGAUCACUGGCAUGCUGCUGGAAAUUGACAACUCAGAGUUACUCCACAUGCUGGAGUCCCCAGAGUCUCUCCGCUCAAAGGUGGAUGAGGCAGUGGCUGUGCUUCAAGCUCACCAGGCAAAGGAGGCCGCCCAGAAGACUGUGACAAACUCAGCUGGUGUCCCGAAUGUCUGAACCCAAGGUAUGACGUUUUCCAGUGCUGCUUUAACAAGGAAAGGACAGUGUUGACAGGAGUGGGCAACCUUGAAACUAGCUUCACCGAUGGAUUUUAACAGUGGAAAAAAAAUAAAUAAGAAAAUGCAUAAAACAAAGUAAAAGAAGUCAAAUGAUAUAUUAAAAAAAAAUACCAAUGGAAACAAGUCUCCAGCCAGGCCUUCUAAUGAAACGGAAACACCAGGCCUGGUUUGCUGAGUUAAACAGAGAAAAUACACAAAAAAGAGAAAAAGUUAAAUUAAUAAAAAAUGACCAGUUUAUGAGAGGUUUUAGAGAAGAAUUCUUUGACAAAUAAAGAAUGAAAGCAUUCUUUUUCUUCCAUUUCUCCCCUUUUAAAUGUUUGAAUGUUUGGGCUGUAGGAGCCUGUUAUUGUGAAAUUUCCCUUGACCUUUGCUUGCUUGAAUAAAACUUCUAAAGUAAUCUAAA